CGGCGGACGGGUGAGUAACACGUGGGUAACCUACCUAUAAGACUGGGACAACUUCGGGAAACCGGAGCUAAUACCGGAUAAGAUAUCGAACCGCAUGUUUCGAUAGUGAAAGAUGGUUUUGCUAUCACUUAUAGAUGGACCCGCGCCGUAUUAGCUAGUUGGUGAGGUAACGGCUCACCAAGGCAACGAUACGUAGCCGACCUGAGAGGGUGAUCGGCCACACUGGAACUGAGACACGGUCCAGACUCCUACGGGAGGCAGCAGAG
rnacentral:rRNA from 1 species